rnacentral:rRNA from 1 species
UACGGGGGGAGCAAGCGUUGUUCGGAUUUACUGGGCGUAAAGGGCGCGUAGGCGGCGCAACAAGUCACUUGUGAAAUCUCCGGGCUUAACCCGGAGCGGCCAAGUGAUACUGUCGUGCUAGAGUGCGGAAGGGGCUACUGGAAUUCUCGGUGUAGCGGCGAAAUGCGUAGAUAUCGAGAGGAACACCUGCGGCGAAGGCGGGUAGCUGGGCCGACACUGACGCUGAGGAGCGAAAGCAUGGGGAGCAAACAGG